rnacentral:tRNA from 1 species
GCCGGAGUGGCGGAAAGGCAGACGCAGGGGACUUAAAAUCCUCUGUCCGCGAGGACGUGCGGGUUCGAAUCCCGCCUCCGGCACCA